GUCAGAAUUCAUACUGAAACUGAGAAGACUAAGCAGCACAAGGUUCAUAGUAAUGAUGAUCAUUCUGUCCUAUCAAUGAACUUGAGAUUGAUUUCUUCCUCUUUAUUGAAAUGGGCCCUAUUCAUAAUACCAAACCAGCCAGAGUGGCAAGCAUGAGAAGGAUACUACUCACACACUGGUCAGAACAUAGGUCUCCUCCCAUUCUCCAAGGGAUCGGAAGGAAGCUGUGGCCAGGAGGAGUGAAGCACUCUUCGCCUACCUCCUCCUGUGGCUCUGAAACCAGUCUUACCUAGGAACUACCCUGAAGAUUCAAGGAAAUCAGCAGUUCAGUUUCAUUUUCUAUGGACAAACAUACACCAGGAACAUUAAAUGUUCAGUGCAAACUAAAAUUAAUCAGUUGAUCUGGUCAUGUAUGCGCUACCAGGAAAACUGGGGAGAAAUGCAUGAGACUUAUGACACUGUUUGCAGGUCCUGAAGUGCUUCCCUGCCUCCAUUUCUUCCAAUGCUGAAGGGAAAGGGGAAGGAAGUUGUUUUACAUUUUCAAAAGCAAUGCCACAGCCCUGGUUCCUUGCUGUAUUACUCAUGCUACCUGAUAGCUGAUUGAAUAGUCAAAAAGUAAGGAAACAGAAAAGAAAAAGGAAUCAAAAGCUUUAAGCUAAACUUUUUUCCACAUAUAGUAAAAAUGAGGAGUUUAUCCAACUAUUGAUGGAGCUCUGAGAUCGCUCACAGAAAAUGCAACUCAGCAAUAAGAAGCCCUGACUAGGAGGAGGAGAUGGAAAGCAGUUUGGAGAGGUAGAGGAGGAAACACAGAGGAGACAGGAAGGGAGACAGAGAAAAAGAGACUGAAAUACAAUUUCAAUUAAGCUUGAAAAAGCCAUUGUGAUUUCAGGUGUUUAUUCAAAUGAAUGUGUCAUCCUCAAACUUUAACUGUGAGGAGGUCACCUGCUUGAAAAAAAGAUGUUCUGAAGGGUGAAGCAGCAAUAAUCAACUAACAACAAUCCAGGAUUUUAACAGGCAACCAUCGGUUUGAAAUAUUACAAUUGCAAUCUAAAUAUGUCGUACCUAUAUUGUUAUAAGUAACGUCUAAAAAUGCCUAUAAUUAU